AAUAAACACCACGUUUCAUUUUCAGUCUUGUUAGAAGGCGACUUCAACGUGGACACAGAAAGAAAAGAAACACUUACCAGAUGAAGCACGGAUCCUCCCUCGAUGUUGUAAUCUUUCGCUGUCUUUUCGUCGUUCAUUUGCUUUCCUGCAAAGAUAAGCCUGUGAAGGAAGAGAAGAAGAGGGAAGGAAAGGAAAGGACGACGCCAAACCUUUUGUUAGCCACAGCAGCAGAAACUUCCUCCCACCACCACCACCACCAUCAAAAACCAACAAAAAAAAAGAA
rnacentral:ribozyme from 1 species